UGAGGCAGGAGAAUUGCUUGAACCCGGGAGGCAGAGGUUGUGGUGAGCCGAGAUCACGCCAUUGCACUCCAGCCUGGGCAACAAGUGUGAAUCAUUCACACACUUUUUUUUUUCGCUCUGCCAUCCAAGCUGUAGUACAGUGGCGCAAUCUCGGCUCACUGCAAUCUCCACAUCCCAGGCUCAAGUGAUUCUCCUGCCUCAGCCUCCAAAGUAGCUAGGAUUACAGGCACCCACCACGAUGCCCAGC
rnacentral:sRNA from 1 species